UACACUAUACUCCUAUCUUACCUUGUGACGACCAUCCACGAUUCCUCUCACCAUGACUUGGAGAGUUGGGACCAAUCUAUCCAUACUCAUCCUCGGCAUCGAUGGUGUUCACCAGAGUUGAUAGCGAGGCCCGCCAAAGUGGUUUCUUAGGUCCUGUUAUUAGGUCCUGCUCCUAGUAAUAGUAUAUGUAUGAACAGUUAUUGAAGGAUUAAAGAAAAAGGAAUAAAAGAAGAGCAGCACUAAGCUGUACCGGAUAAAGUAGUACCUACCCAUAAAAGAUUCGGCACGUAGUCCCUCC
rnacentral:lncRNA from 1 species